rnacentral:lncRNA from 1 species
UUCCCCCUCUCUCUUUCCAUCUCUUCACUUUGUUCUCUCUAUAGGCUCUAUAUUCUCUCCUUCCCUUCGGCCACCAUCCCAAAACUAGAAACCAACGUACCCUCCAAGUUUUCGGUUGAACUUCAACCAAAACCUUCAACCACUAACCCAAAAACACAUCCCUUCCCAUAAACCACUAUUGAACCACUGUAGUCCAUAGAUCCCCAGUUGAAGUUCAACUGCAAUCUUCAAAUAUUUAACUGGCGUUCAUCUAAAUGAUGAACACCAACCCAUAAACCCUUCAAACCCAAGAACCCUAACCUCAAAGCCUUAGAACCUUAACCCUAACACACUACCCAACUGAACCCUAACCGAGUUCUUAUGAACCCUAACACUAACCAUAUGAACCCUAACCUAAAACCUGAUGAACCCUAUCCUGAAGAAAAUGAAUCUCCAUCUUCUUCCUCCAACCAAAACCUAACCUCAACCCAGAUCGACCCAUAACUUACCCAGAAUCACGCCAAACCUAUCCCAAACCCUAAAUCAUAACCCCUUGCACCCUAAUCAAGCAUUCAAACCCCAAAUCAAACAACAAAAAUUAUGAAACCCUAAACCAAAUCCUAAAUAACAAUUAACCAUAAACAACCACAAUCAUAUAGCAUCACAUGUUUAAUGGUUAAAAAAAAAUCCCUACCUCUUCGGUCGUGUCCGAUUUAAGCUGCGUCACUUCCUUUUCUUACUAAUUUUUAUGGUUCUUUUUUUUUUUUUUGAUAAUCACUUGUAUUAAUUCGCACAAGGGGUGCAACCCAAUACAAAAGGAACAAAGUUACAAUCCAAUGCAAUUAGCAGGAUUAGCAAACCACAAAUCUCUAGAUAUAUCUAUAUUCCCCUUAGACAAAAUAGAAAUCCAAUCCCACCCAAUUGAUUUAAUAAGCAAUCAAAUCUCAACCACAUUCCAAUUAGAGUGUUCAAAGACCAAACUAUUUCUAGAAUUCCAAAUGCUCCAACAAACCAAAGGCCAAAUAAAAGCGAAAAAAGAUGACUUCACUCUACCAUCCAAAGAAUUUAGUAGAAAUAAAAGCGCAUCUUCCCUUUGGUGGAGAGAUAUUCGGUUGGUUUGUGGAACUCCUCUUGGUGGGCAUGAUUGGUUUGGUGAUUCAAUUUCUUGUAAAUUGGGAAGAGGCAAUUCUAUUCUUUUUUGGAAGCACUGUUGGUUGGGAAAUCGUUUCUCUUAAGCUUCUUUUUCCUCGUUAUUUGAGUUGCUCUUUCCUAAUGCUCUUGUGAUUAAUUGUGGUUUGUGGGAGAAUGGGGGGUGGAGUUGGAAGGUGGUGUUGAUUCAACCUUAUUAGUAGGUGAAUUAUUGGAGGUUGGAAGGAGUUAAUAGAGAUUCUUAAGGAUGUGAAACCGUGUACGAAUGGGGUUGAUAAAUUAAUUUGGUGGAGAGAUGUGGGGGCUUUUCGUUAGGAUGUUUUUAAACGCUUGUUAUACUUUGAAUAUGGCUAUUCUAAUGGUAGUGAUUUUAGAUUUGUGAACUUAAAAGAUUAUGGAAAGCUACUAUUCCGUGGAAAGUCAAGUUGUUUGGGUGGAGAUGGAUCUUGGGAGCCUUACCGACGAGAAAAGAACUUUGGCAUAGAGGUGUGAUUUUAGCGGGUGGAGCUUCUCUUUGUCCCUUAUGUGAUUUAGAAGAGGAAUUUGUUGGUCACCUUUUUUUGAAGUGUGGUAAAGUUAAAUUUAUAUGGAAGGAAGUGUUCUCGUGGUUUGGCUUGGAUUUUGAUGAUCUAUUGGGUUCUUUUGAUUGCUUUCUCUAAUCCCUUUCCUUAUAUUUUUGCAGGUAUGGAUAAGUGGCUUAGCUCAAAGCAACUUAAGGUUUCGAUGUGAAACCUUAAGUGUUUAGGAAUCUGAGGUUUAGUGAAUAGGUUAGGAAUUAUAGUAGUUUAGGGUUUUUUUCUCUUUUUUUUUCGUCCUUCACUCUGUUUUCGAUUUAGUUAUUUCUAGGUUAGAGUUAGGUUUAGAAAUUUUAUUGGAUUGAUUGUUUUAGGAAGUUUUUUAUUUGAUUGAUUGUAAUCAUAAAUUUGAUUCAAUUAGUUUUUUUAUCAGAUUGUAUCUGGUCUGAUUUUAAUUGUAAAUUGUAAUGUGUAAUUUGGAAGGUUUUGAUUGAAUUUGAAAUGCAUGCCUUUGUUUUGAUCC